CACCGAGAGAGAACGCCUCUAUCUCCUCUCUACUCGUCCCUACCCUUUAAAAUAGACACUGACACAGUAAAAGAAGACGUGGAGCCCCUUCCCGAGCCCAAGGGUGCUGUUCUGGCUAGAACGCUUUAAAAUUGCUGAGGGUUCUUGGCAUUGGAAAUACUUAAGUAACGUUUUGUUAACCAAACACGGAAUACUGAAGAGUCGUGGUUGCCAAAUCCAGGAAAAAUACGGGCGUUAGGAAAAGUCCAGGGAAAGCAGACUCAAUGAACAAGCUGUUAAGGGUCCUCUCUUACCAUGUCUGGCUGGCGGCGCCCCAGAUGCCAUGUGAUGACCAUUUGAAGACAGGCCUGUCGGACAUCAGGGUCUGAGUAAAGGGGGACAUGGAGGGUAGAGGUUGUACCUUGAAGACAGGGUGCAGCCCUGGGAGGCACCUCAUGGUGGCCACAGCAAUGACCUCAGCCAGCAGGUGGGUGUUCAGCAGAUGAUACUGGAGCUGGUGCAGUUGGAAAUCUGAAUUUCGGACCCAGGACUUUGCCAGGA